AUCAACGGACAUAUUUCGUUGUGCAGCUCCCGCGUGGCCAAGGCAUCUGGAGUGGCUUGCUUAUGGCUUUCCCGCUAGAAUCAGAGCGCUCCAUCAACGGCCUCUUCUCUUUUGAGUGUUCGUUGCCGAAAUCAAACGCUAGAUCAUUACCAGGCAAUCGGAGGAAGAGAGAGAGAAGAAUCGAAAGAAGUUUCUCGACUCGUCUCGGUGAUGAAAAAUAGAGGGUAUUUUCUUCGACAAGUUCGUGAUCCAAGCGGGGGCGGAUUUUUCAGAAGUGUGCGACUGAUCUGGCGAUGAUGAAUUCGACGGUGAAGUUCAUAUUUCGAAAUACGGCCUCGUUUUUCGGCGUUCAUGUCACUUCCACUCCGCUUCGGCUUUCGUAUUCUCAGCUCACACUUGCCUCUGGAACUAAGAGAGCAGGACGACGAACUCUUAUGUCAGUGAGAUCUGUUCCAGUAACAGAGAGGGGAAGAACAAUGCAGUUGCUCUUGAUGAAGUGAUUGCUUGGACAACAGAAAAGCAGUUGGUCUUGUCAUUGAUGCCGGUUGGAUUUCGCAUCUGCUAGGAAUACUGGUAGAAGAAAGAGUUUGAUCAGCUGAAGAGGAAAAUGGCAAAGUCUAAGAGAGAAUUUGGUCUGCUGAAGAGGAAAAGAUGGAGGUGGAGCACAUGGAUGGAGAUAAUAAAGAUGAGGGCAUUCUACAAGGUAUCCAACUCCGGUUGCUACUUUCAACACUCCUUCACGUAAGAAAUUUUCUAUUUGACAUCAUGAACUACAUAUGUGCAACCUAGUUCUCACAGGAAUUACUUUGUUGGCAAUGUUGUGGCUCUAAUAAGAAGCAACUUGAUGGUACUGGUAUCGAGCUAUCGAGUCUCUUCAAGCAAAUUGAGAGUCAGGCUUCUUAUGGUUGCUAUACUACUGAAGCUUGGAAAAAGAGGAUACACUAGAUGGGGUCUCAAGUAACUGGCGAUCUUCUUGCAUCUGUAUCUGAAGCAGAGAACCCUUCACAAAGGCCUGUAAGGAGGUGUAGACGACAUGGUAAACUUUUGGAGGAGGGCGCAAGUGGAUAUCUGUAGAAGAAAUUCUCCACUCAUGAGGUUGAGGGAAUUGGAACAUAAAAUUUGGAAGUUGAUGGGUGCUCUCUUAAUAAAGUAACAUUAUUCGGCAGCAAGAACUAGGCUUCUAUUUACUUGGCCAGCACUCCGCAGCUAGCUGCUGAAAUGGGACUCAAAUUUCCUGGAGUUGUUGAGUACUGGGUAAUCCAGAGUGAUGUCCAAGGGAAAGGAACAGAACAUCCAUUAAUUGGUGUUGUCUGUGGACACUUAUUUGGUCUGAAGUUAGAGCAUUAUACAAUUAAUAGGCAGAGCCGGUAAGCUCCUGAACGAAGCGUCCACUGACUUUGAGAGUGCCAUCAACAUCAUUAAGCACGCCUGUCCAAAUAAAGGCAAAAUUUUGAAUUGGGUCAUACGGGAUUGGCUUUUGCCGAAGUUACCUAAAAGUUUAGGGCUGUACCUAUAAUCCAAAGGGCAAGGGAGUUCUCUCUUCCACGUGGCGAUCUUUUAUUGGUCUGUGACGGAGAGAGAGAAUUUUGGGUGGAGCAUAGUGUUUCUUCUUUUUGUGGGUCAUGGAAUAGUCAUUUUUUUCUCUCCAGCUUGCAUGAUUAAAGUUAUUUCACAUUAUGUUUGGGACAGUAACAGUUGUAAAGUCACUCUCCUAAAUGAUUCCUUCAAAUCUUGUGUACAUUAAAUAAAUGUUCAACAUUUUUUUCUA